rnacentral:sRNA from 1 species
ACGACAGUCCUGGAGACACAAGUCCUCUGUUUGGCCACAGGACAGGGAGAACCUGGGCUGCAGCAAGACAAGCUUCCCAACCCUGCCCUGCCAACAUGACUCCCCCUGCUAGGAUAGUGAAGGGGGCUCUGCCUUCACAGCCUGCUCAAGCUUUGGGCUAAU